GACGAACGCUGGCGGCGUGCCUAAUACAUGCAAGUAGGACGCAGUUGCGAACGGGUGAGUAACGCGUAGGUAACUACCUAUCUGAGGGGGAUAAUUAUUGGAAACGAUAGCUAAUACCGCAUACUAGUAGAUGGACCUGCGUUGUAUUUGGUAGGAGGUAGGGUAAUGGCCUACCUAGGCAACGAAACAUAGCCGACCUGAGAGGGAGAUCGACCACACUGGGGCCGAGACACGGCCCAGACUCCUACGGGAGGCAGCAGUAGGGAAUCUUCGGCAAUGGGGGGAACCCUGACCCAACAACGCCGCGGGGGGGAAGAAGGUUUUCGGAUCUUAAAGCUCUGUUGUGAAGGAAGCGGUACUUAACCAGAAAGGGACGGCUAACUACGUGCCAGCAGCCGCGGUAAUUC
rnacentral:rRNA from 1 species